rnacentral:tRNA from 1 species
GGGGUUGUGCUCAGCGGUAGAGCAUUCUCCUGACACGUGCAAGGCCCUGGGUUCCAUCCUCAGCACCACA